GACGAACGCUGGCGGCGUGCUUAACACAUGCAAGUCGAACGGAAAGGCCCUGCUUUUGUUGGGUGCUCGAGUGGCGAACGGGUGAGUAACACGUGAGUAACCUGCCCUUGACUUUGGGAUAACUUCAGGAAACUGGGGCUAAUACCGGAUAGGAGCUCCUGCUGCAUGGUGGGGGUUGGAAAGUUUCGGCGGUUGGGGAUGGACUCGCGGCUUAUCAGCUUGUUGGUGGGGUAGUGGCUUACCAAGGCUUUGACGGGUAGCCGGCCUGAGAGGGUGACCGGCCAAAUGGGGACGGAGAUCCGGCCCAGACUCUUAGGGGAGGCAGAGGGGGGGAUAAUGGAACAAGGGGCGGAAGCCGGAGGCGGAAACGCGGGUGGGGGGAGAACGCCCUCGGGUUGUAAACCGCUUUCGCCUGUGACGAAGCGUGAGUGACGGUAAUGGGUAAAGAAGCACCGGCUAACUACGUG
rnacentral:rRNA from 1 species